GGAUUAGGCAUGCAAGUCGCACGAGAAAGGCUUCUUCGGAAGCCGAGUAAAGUGGCGAACGGGUGAGUAAUGCAUAGACAACUCGCCCUUGAGAUGGGGACAACGCCUCGAAAGGGGUGCUAAUACCCAAUGCCGCCUUGGGCCUGCGGGUCCAGGGUGAAAGGAGGCCUCUGAUUCAAGCUUCCGCUCAAGGAGAGGUUUAUGUCCUAUUAGCUAGUUGGCGGGGUAACGGCCCACCAAGGCUGCGAUGGGUAGCCGACCUGAGAGGGUGACCGGCCACAUUGGGACUGAGACACUGCCCAGACUCCUACGGGAGGCUGCAGUCGAGAAUCUUCCGCAAUGCGCGCAAGCGUGACGGAGCGACGCCGCGUGGGUGAUGAAGGCCUUCGGGUUGUAAAACCCUGUCAGCUACUACGAGACACGGGCGAUGAACAAUCGUCCCGUCUGACUUAAGUAGCAGAGGAAGCACCGGCUAACUACGUGCCAGCAGCCGCGGUAAUACGUAGGGUGCGAACGUUGUUCGGAAUCACUGGGCAUAAAGGGCGCGUAGGCGGUCUGAUAAGUCAGGUGUGAAAUCCCUCGGCCUAACCGAGGAACUGCAUUUGAUACUGUCGGGCUAGAGUACAGGAGGGGAGAGUGGAAUUCCUGGUGGAGCGGUGAAAUGCGUAGAUAUCAGGAGGAACGCCGGCGGCGAAAGCGACUCUCUGGCCUGUUACUGACGCUGAGGCGCGAAAGCUAGGGGAGCAAACGGGGAUUAGAUACCCCGGUAGUCCUAGCCCUAAACGAUGGGCACUAAGUAGAGGGGUUUU
rnacentral:rRNA from 1 species